CCUACGGGAGGCUGCAGUGAGGAAUAUUGGUCAAUGGACGCGAGCCUGAACCAGCCAAGUAGCGUGAGGGAUGAAGGACCUAUGGGUUGUAAACUUCUUUUAUAAAGGAAUAAAACGAGGCACGUGUGCCUUUUUGCAUGUACCUUAUGAAUAAGGAUCGGCUAACUCCGUGCCAGCAGCCGCGGUAAUACGGAGGAUCCGAGCGUUAUCCGGAUUUAUUGGGUUUAAAGGGUGCGUAGGCGGGUUGUUAAGUCAGUUGUGAAAGUUUGCGGCUCAACCGUAAAAUUGCUGUUGAUACUGGCAGUCUUGAGUAUGUUUGAGGUAGGCGGACUUCGUGUUGUAUCGGUGAAAUGCUUAGAUAUCACGCAGAACCCCGAUUGCGAAGGCAGCCUACUAAGCUGUGACUGACAUUGAUGCUCGAAAGUGUGGGUAUCGAACAGGAUUAGAUACCCUUGUAGUC
rnacentral:rRNA from 1 species